ensembl:lncRNA
CGGCGGUGGGGUUGAGGGUGGGGGAGGGUGUUAGGCUUAGAGGCGACUUGAAGUUCUGCGGGUCUGAGUACAGCCCAAAGCGGCCGGCGCCGAGGAGAAUGGACCUAGGGCGGGCGAGCCUCCCGCCUAGCCUGUGGCCGCUGCAGGGUGGAAAGGCUGGAGUAGGAGGGGACGUGAUACAAAGUCCCUGCGCGCUGCUGCCCCGGGACUGAGCGGGACACAGACUGUCCCAAGGUGGAAAGGAGCCGCGACCCCUGCCCAGACCUGCUUGGAUUCUAGUCCACACAGGACCCGGAGCCUGAGGCGGCGCCAGGAGAGGAAUGGUUUGGUCCUUGCGGGCGAGUGGGAUUCUCAGGAGCCCAAAGGAGCCUCAGCUGGUCCUUGGGACAUCACGGUCCCCGGUCUUAGGCGGCAUCAGACUACGCAUCCCCGGAAUCAGAGCAGACUGAGAGCGCCUGCAAGGAAAGCUGAGUCUAAGCCGCCUCUUCUGUCUCUUUGCGAGGCACUGGGGCCCCCUUUUCUCCCCGCAAUUGCAGAUGUAACGCCUGAGAUGCAUGGACAGCUGUUCUACCUGUUCCCGGUAGAAGUGUAAGCUUAACCAUGGAUGCAAGAGGCGUCCCCAAAAGAGAGUGCAAAAGGAGCCUUCACAAGAUCCAGAAAGUUCACGCCAGAAAAUAGUCUAAGAGAGCAAAGGCCUUGUUGCACAGCUGGUAAGGUCGGUGUAGUGAGAAUGAGGUCUCCAGUCUCCCACGGGAAUGUGGGACACCUGCAAUCAAAAACCCACUAAUCUGUCACAGUGGGCAGAUGCUGCUGGAAUCGGAUUUUCUAGCACUAACAAGCAAAGAAGGUUGAGCCAACAAAGGUCCCUUGUGGACUGAGACCCCUUAUGACAAACUCCCCUGAGAGCUGAUUCAAGCCAAAGAAAGAAAGACUGGGGACCCCAGUCUAUUUGACUGGCUGACAAGAUGCAUGCUAGUAAGAGCAUCCUCCAGAUGAUGGAGACCAGAGAGGUCACAAAGCCAAGCUUUCAAGACAUACAACAAAAGGGGCAGAGCAAAAUGGCGGGGUGAGCUGACCCGGGAUUCUCUCUCCUCCAAAAUACAACAAAGGAUUGGAAAAACUGAAUUUCAGAGAAUAAAUCUAAUGCCAACAUGUUAGAGACCUACAAUACCAAGAAGGCGGAGAUCAUAGACCUUGCUGACGGCCUCAGAGUUGCUGGAACGGGUAGGAGAGAAUGUCACUCCCUCCCCUAGAGUCUGCGAUCGCUGCUGCGUGGGUCCGGGAAGGAGCCGGGGAGGGGCCGUGCGACCAGGGGAUCAUCCAGGAUUCCUGCCACUGGUUCAGUGGAAACCCGCUGAUGGGGGAAAGCUUCCAUGAGUGGCAACCCCAUAAACCCAGGGCCUCGUGAGACCAGAGAACAGAACUGAUCUGAAUCCAGAUUGGCGUGCAAGAAUAGCAGCCCCUCCCUCCCAGCAAAGCCACUGGGCGCUGCCAUUUUGCCUGAAGGCAGAGAGCUCAGAACACAUGGCUCUCAACCCCCAUCUAGUGGCGACAGACUGUAACUGCAACCAAAUUCUACCACCACCGAAAAAAAA